UACGUAGGGUGCGAGCGUUAAUCGGAAUUACUGGGCGUAAAGCGUGCGCAGGCGGUUAUGUAAGCCAGAUGUGAAAUCCCCGGGCUCAACCUGGGAAUGGCAUUUGGGACUGCAUAGCUAGAGUAUGGCAGAGGAGACUAGAAUUCCUGGUGUAGCAGUGAAAUGCGUAGAUAUCAGGAGGAAUACCGAUGGCGAAGGCAGGUCUCUGGGUCAAUACUGACGCUCAUGCACGAAAGCGUGGGGAGCAAACAGG
rnacentral:rRNA from 1 species